AUUGUAGUCAAAAAGUCCUACAGUAGCUCCCGAAGAGUCCAUCUGUACCUGGUUGCCAGGAUAAUCAAAUUGUAGAGAAUCAAGACCAACUUGUUCCAUGGCAUCUAGAUUCUGAUUUUCUGGAUUGGAAAAUUCUUCUACCAAGGGCUUGUGGGCUGUAGGAUUGGGAAGUGGGCCCAAUCCUUCUGUGGUGCUGGGAUUGGGACCCAAGCGUUCAGCUACUUCUGUUGGGGAGGCUUGUCGACUUCCAGGGGUACGAUUAAAAUCUUUGCAAUCGGCAUCCAUUCCAUUUGGCAAACCUCUGCCAUUUAUUUUAGUAACAUCCUCAUCAUCUCCUUGUUUAAGAUCUCUGUUUUUGUCCUCCUCAAAUGGAGAAGCCUUGCCUUUCUGAUCUCCUUUCUCAGGUCCAUCUGUUUCAGCAUCUCUAGUGCCAAAAGCUCCUUUCCUAAACCGGGAAUCCAAUUUAUCAGCUGGAGAGGAACUUAACACAUAUUCUACCAUGCUCACGCCAAGGCCACCACUUUCUGAUCGUGGAGACAAUACAGCAUUUACUUCACUGUUUCCAUGAAAACCCUGUCCAGGCUUUCUCUGUACCAUAAUAGGCUGGGACAUAGAAUGGUGAGGAGUUCCCCAUGCAGUCUCUCUCCACUCAUCACCAAGGAAUAUCCCUUUUUGUCCAUCUUUUGCUGAAUCAUCAGGUUCCCAAAACUUUUUGGCAGGUAAAAGCUCUCCCAUUCCCCGAGAUUCUAGGGCAAGAGCUUGAAACUCAUGAUUCAUCUCAUCCACAGAUCGAACGGGCUGGUUGGCGGCGCCGCUCGCCGAGACGGAGCCGGAGCGGGCCCUGGGACACCGCCGCCCGCCCGCCGCCCCCCGCCGCCUGCUCCUCUCGGCGCCUCUCCUUCCGGCCUCCCCUCCCCCCCCUCGGCCGCGAGGGGCUCACAACAACAUGGCGGGAGGGCGCGCGCGGAGGGAGAGGGAGAGCGAGAGCGCGGCAAAGCUCCCCCCGCCGCCACCACCGCCGCCGCCGCCGCUCGCCCCUGCCGCCGCCACAGCGCAUGCGCGCCCCGCGCCGGGAGGAGGCGGGGAGGCGGCCCCGGGCCCUUCCGUCGCGCAGCGCGCAUGCCCCUCCCGCCGGCGUCCGUCCUCCCCUCAGAGCGGCCCCUGCCGCCGGGCCCCGCGCCUUUGCUCGUGCCGCCGGGCUGUGCCGCCGUUGCUUCUCUCGGAAUGUUUUCAGCGUUAUCGGCUUCCCAAAGGGAAGGCCGCGGAGCGGGGCAGGGCGCGUUGUUAUACAAUAAACAGUAAACGCGUGGCCGGAGUUACUAAUUGGCUGAUGUGCCUGUACAUGAUGGCUGUGGAAGGAUUUAGUUCUUUCCUUCCCCGAGAGCGUGAAAUACGCGAUCUCAGAUAUAGCUGUCGAUAAAUAAAUCACUGGGUGUUAGUAAGCACUGCUAAGGCCACAGAAUGGCAGGGGUUGGAAGGGACCUCUGGGGCUCAUGGGCUCCAACCCUGGUGCUGCAGGUUCCCUCCAGCAGCUCUCUGUGGGGUUCAUCAGCCACGCUGAAUUCCAGCUCGAAUUCUUCUCAGCAGUAUUUCUCUCCUAGGACGUAGAGCCCAGCCUAUCAGUGUCUCUUCAAAACACAAAUUCCAUGAGGAGAUGUCAUGUCUGCCUCCUCAGCAGGUCCGCUAAGCCUGGCUGGCUGCAGGGCACUCGGGAAGCCAUCCUAGAUCACACCUUUGGGUGGGACCCCGUUAUCGGUCCCAGCAGGCAGCGUGGCACUGCUGUCCCAGCUCCUCCUGCACACACCAGGCCUGCCCGCCGCCCCAGGGCUCGGGUGGUGCCCAACGGGACAGCAGCACAUCGAUGGGGAGCAGGACUUUGUGGCGGCCUGCUGGGGAGCAGAGGCCUGGCCGCCAGCUGCCUCCUUAGAGGCAUCGUGAAGGAAAAACUCGCUGCUGGGGACGUAUAACUUCCCAUUUCCUGAUAAAUGUUUUCCUAAGAAAUGAAAAUGAUUUCUUCAGCUUAACGCUAAGCAGCCAGACGCCUGGCUAAUCCCUGUGAUCCCGCGUCCUGUCCCACUGCCACCUUUGUCUGCAGGGCUGCAGAGCCACUUCUCUGCUCGCUGCAGGAGAGGAAGCCUCCGAGUCGGCCUCUGAGUCACAGCCCAUGCUGCAAGCAGGGGCUGAAGGAAACCCUGCUAAUGUUCUUGCUGU
rnacentral:lncRNA from 1 species